rnacentral:lncRNA from 1 species
AUGCUCCCCUUUCCUCCUCAGUCUGUGCUCAGAGAGAGUGGGACCUUCAUCCACGUCUCAACCUCGCUGAAUUUCUGCCACAGGAAACGUUGGAACACUCUUCUGAUCCCCUCCUGCCUCCGAACCAGAAAGGUUUAUUCCCCAACAAAACCACAUUUCGACAAACACAGUUCUUUUUCACCGACAUACUAUGAUCAGAAACCAGUGAUCAGGGCUCGUAACAAACAGAGGCUGCUUUUCCUUUCUUUCUUUCCUUUUUUCCAGUGUAACACUGUGCAUGGCAUCCCAGCGCUUCAGAAACACCCUGCUGCUCCACGGACACCUAGCUUGAUGUUAAUGAGAGCCUGGUGGAAAGGCUGCUGCAGAAUCUGUAACAGCGAGCUUCCCUCAACCACAAGAGCACUCCGUAGCAUAAGCAGCAAUGCAGCUAUGCCCACAAGAGUGCAGAUCUGGUGCAGCUCUGGAUGAUGUGUUGGCUCUUAAUCUUCUUCAUGCAUCACGUGCACACUGCUACCCUGGUACCAAAUCCGGAACCUUACUUGUGGAGAUGGGGAGAGAGACAGAACCACCUUAGUAUGCUAUCUUCCUGGGUAGAUUAGUUAUUGCCAGGUAGGGAAUGAAACCACAAUACCCUCUGUGCUGAAAAGUGGGUUAAUCUGGAAACAGAAGAGGAAGACUGAGCAUGGGUGCUUUGACGCAGGGUAAUCUGUAAUCCUGCUGCUCACAUCCUAACUGCGCUUGGAAGAGCUAAGGAACAGGAGAGGCAGGAAGGAAACUGAACUGAUCUCUCCUGGGUGCUGGCAGCAUUUCACCCCUUCAAGUGCUGCUCCUCCUUCCACCUCACUGAGCUGCAGCCAGGACUUGCCCUGCAUCCCGGGGAGGUAACCUGGCUGAGUCUCUGCGAAGAAGGAACCUCUCCUCUCUGCCUAUCUCUGACUUGCCCCCCAGUCUCCUCCCCGGCACACUUCAGUUUUCAUUGACUGACUGCUAAGAUUGUGCCUGACUUCAUUGAGACGCUUUUAAAAUCUUCGUCUUUGCUCCUUGUAUUGAUUAGCUUUGUCCUCUUAAUGGGCUAUUUUUUGUCUCCCAGCCUGUUGCACCAUUGGGUUAUAUAUUACUCAUCAGGGCUCUUGGUAUGGAUUCAUAGAUAUGAGUACGGUUGGAGACCAGCUCUGGGAAGGGAUGCUGAUCUUUGGAACAAAAACCCCAAAUCUUUCAGUGCUUAGGAAACCGUUCACAAUGUGAAAAAAUUAAAAGAUAAAGAAUCUGAUCACUUCGUUAUUCCACAUAAAUAAAUAUAUAAAUCGAAAGCA